UACGUAGGGUGCAAGCGUUAUCCGGAAUUAUUGGGCGUAAAGCGCGCGUAGGCGGCAGCGUGUGUCGGGCGUGAAAUCCCACGGCUCAACCGUGGAAGUGCACUCGAAACUGCGCAGCUGGAGUCUCGGAGAGGAAGGCGGAAUGCUUGGUGUAGAGGUGAAAUUCGUAGAUAUCAAGCGGAACACCGGUGGCGAAGGCGGCCUUCUGGACGAUGACUGACGCUGAAGCGCGAAAGCGUGGGGAGCAAACAGG
rnacentral:rRNA from 1 species